AAGAACAAAAAAUUAAUUGCCCUUGAUAAUGUAUGAACUAAACAAAAUGAUCAAUCAACUUGCUUGAUGGGAUAAAUGUUGAUUGAUAUUGCUAAUUCUUUAAAUGUAGUGAGAAAUAGAGUCCUCAAGUUCUUUGUGUCAAGAAAGAUAUUGCCUGAAGGGGAAAACCAAUUAAAACGUGUUCAAGCAAUGAAAAUAGCCUCUCUGCAAAGCAAGGGCAA
rnacentral:misc_RNA from 1 species